rnacentral:misc_RNA from 1 species
UCCUACUUUCGCGGCAGUCCGUCCAGAGUCCCCGCCAUGACGCGUUGGUAACUGAACGUAGGGGUUUCGCUCGUUAAAGGACUUAACCUAACACCUCACGGCACGAGCUGACGACAGCCAUGCAGCACCUGUUCCGGUUACACCUUGAGAGUAAUCACUGAGCUUUCACCCAGCUAAUCCCGGUAUGUCAAGACCUGGUAAGGUUCUUCGCGUUGCUUCGAAUUAAACCACAUCCUCCACCGCUUGUGUGAGCCCCCGUCAAUUCCUUUGAGUUUUAGCCUUGCGGCCGUACUCCCCAGGCGGAGUGCUUAACGCGUUAGCUACGACGCCGCGGGGGUCAAUACCCACGACAUCCAGCACUCAUCGUUUACAGCGUGGACUAC